AGUGGGGAAUUUUGGACAAUGGGGGCAACCCUGAUCCAGCCAUGCCGCGUGAGUGAAGAAGGCCUUCGGGUUGUAAAGCUCUUUCGGCUGGGAAGAAAUCGCAUCUCCUAAUACGGGGUGUGGAUGACGGUACCAGCAUAAGAAGCACCGGCUAACUACGUGCCAGCAGCCGCGGUAAUACGUAGGGUGCGAGCGUUAAUCGGAAUUACUGGGCGUAAAGCGUGCGCAGGCGGUUUCGUAAGACAGAUGUGAAAUCCCCGGGCUCAACCUGGGAACUGCAUUUGUGACUGCGAGGCUAGAGUAUGGCAGAGGGGGGUGGAAUUCCACGUGUAGCAGUGAAAUGCGUAGAGAUGUGGAGGAACACCGAUGGCGAAGGCAGCCCCCUGGGUCAAUACUGACGCUCAUGCACGAAAGCGUGGGGAGCAAA
rnacentral:rRNA from 1 species